rnacentral:tRNA from 1 species
UGGGGAAUCGUCUAAUGGCAGGACAACGGAUUCUGAUUCCGUUUAUCUAGGUUCGAAUCCUGGUUCCCCAG